rnacentral:rRNA from 1 species
CCUACGGGAGGCAGCAGUGAGGAAUAUUGGUCAAUGGACGAGAGUCUGAACCAGCCAAGCAGCGUGAAGGAUGACUGCCCUAUGGUUGGUAAACUUUUUUUAUAUGGGAAUAACAUGUUACACGUGCGGGGUUUUGUAUGUACCCUAUGAAUAAGGAUGGGCCAACUCCGUGCCAUCAGCCGCGGUAAUACGGAGGAUCCACGCGUUAUCCGGGUUUAUUGGGUUUAAGGGGAGCGUAGGUGGGUGGUUAAGUCAGUUGUGAAAGUUUGCGGCUCAACCGUAAAAUUGCAGUUGAAACUGGCAGUCUUGAGUACAGUAGAGGUGGGCGGAAUUCGUGGUGUAGCGGUGAAAUGCUUAGAUAUCACGAAGAACUCCGAUUGCGAAGGCAGCUCGCUGGACUGCAACUGACACUGAGGCUCGAAAGUGUGGGUAUCAAACAGGAUUAGAUACCCGGGUAGUC